rnacentral:rRNA from 1 species
UUGUAACCUCUUUCAGCAGGGAAUAAGCGAAAGUGAAGGUACCUGCAGAAGAAGCACCGGCUAACUAUGUGCCAGCAGCCGCGGUAAUACAUAGGGUGCAAGCGUUGUCCGGAAUUAUUGGGCGUAAAGAGCUCGUAGGUGGUCGAUCACGUCGGAUGUGAAAAUCUGAGGCUUAACCUCAGACCUGCAUUCGAUACGGGUUGACUGGAGUGUGGUAGGGGAGACUGGAAUUCCUGGUGUAGCGGUGGAAUGCGCAGAUAUCAGGAGGAACACCGAUGGCGAAGGCAGGUCUCUGGGCCAUUACUGACACUGAGGAGCGAAAGCGUGGGGAGCGAACAGGAUUAGAUACCCUGGUAGUCCACGCCGUAAACGGUGGGCGCUAGUUGUGGGAACCUUCCACGGUUUCUGCGACGCAGCUAACGCAUUAAGCGCCCCGACUGGGGAGUACGGUCGCAAGACUAAAACUCAAAGAAAUUGACGGGGCCCCGCACAAGCAGCGGAGCAUGCGGCUUAAUUCGACGCAACGCGAAGAACUUACCAGGCUUGACUAUACGGAAUACGGCGAG